rnacentral:rRNA from 1 species
UACAGAGGGGGCAAGCGUUGUUCGGAAUUACUGGGCGUAAAGGGCGCGUAGGCGGCCGCCUAAGUCAGACGUGAAAUCCCUCGGCUCAACCGGGGAACUGCGUCCGAUACUGGCAGGCUUGAAUCCGGGAGAGGGAUGCGGAAUUCCAGGUGUAGCGGUGAAAUGCGUAGAUAUCUGGAGGAACACCGGUGGCGAAGGCGGCAUCCUGGACCGGCAUUGACGCUGAGGCGCGAAAGCCAGGGGAGCAAACAGG